rnacentral:rRNA from 1 species
UACAGAGGAUGCAAGCGUUAUCCGGAAUGAUUGGGCGUAAAGCGUCUGUAGGUGGCUUUUUAAGUCCGCCGUCAAAUCCCAGGGCUCAACUCUGGACAGGCGGUGGAAACUACCAAGCUGGAGUACGGUAGGGGCAGAGGGAAUUUCCGGUGGAGCGGUGAAAUGCGUAGAGAUGCGGAGGAACACCGAUGGCGAAGGCAGCCCCUGGGUCGACACUGACGCUCAGGCACGAAAGCGUGGGGAGCAAACAGG